AGUGAACGCUGGCGGUAGGCCUAACACAUGCAAGUCGAACGGCAGCACAGUAAGAGCUUGCUCUUACGGGUGGCGAGUGGCGGACGGGUGAGGAAUACAUCGGAAUCUACUUUUUCGUGGGGGAUAACGUAGGGAAACUUACGCUAAUACCGCAUACGACCUACGGGUGAAAGCAGGGGAUCUUCGGACCUUGCGCGAUUGAAUGAGCCGAUGUCGGAUUAGCUAGUUGGCGGGGUAAAGGCCCACCAAGGCGACGAUCCGUAGCUGGUCUGAGAGGAUGAUAAGCCACACUGGAACUGAGACACGGUCCAGACUCCUACGGGAGGCAGCAGUGGGGAAUAUUGGACAAUGGGCGCAAGCCUGAUCCAGCCAUACCGCGUGGGUGAAGAAGGCCUUCGGGUUGUAAAGCCCUUUUGUUGGGAAAGAAAAGCAGCAGGUUAAUACCCCGCUGUUCUGACGGUACCCAAAGAAUAAGCACCGGCGAACUUCGU
rnacentral:rRNA from 1 species